AGAGUUUGAUCCUGGCUCAGAACGAACGCUGGCGGCGUGCCUAAUACAUGCAAGUCGAACGAGAAUAUGGGGCAACCCAUUAGUAAAGUGGCAGACGGGUGAGUAAUACAUAGGUAACCUACCUCAAUGUUGGGGAUAACCUUCCGAAAGGAGGGCUAAUACCGAAUAAGACCACAAGAACUACGGUUCUAGGGGUUAAAGGCGGCUUCGGCUGUCGCAAUGAGAUGGGCUUAUGCAGCAUCAGCUAGUUGGUAAGGUAAUGGCUUACCAAGGCUUUGACGCUUAACUGAUCUGAGAGGUUGAUCAGUCACACUGGAACUGAGACACGGUCCAGACUCCUACGGGAGGCAGCAGUAGGGAAUAUUGCGCAAUGGAGGAAACUCUGACGCAGCGACGCCGCGUGGGUGAUGAAGGUUUUCGGAUCGUAAAGCCCUGUCGGAGGGGAAGAACACGGUAGUGCUAACACCACUACCGCUUGACGGUACCCUCAAAGGAAGCACCGGCUAACUACGUGCAAGCAGCCGCGGUAAUACGUAGGG
rnacentral:rRNA from 1 species